GCAUAUCAUAAGCGGAGGAAAGAACCAACAGGGAUUGCCCUAGUAACGGCGAGUGAAGCGGCAAUAGCUCAAAUUUGAAAGCUGGCCUCUGGUCCGCAUUGUAAUUUGUAGAGGAUGCUUUUAGGCAGCCGCCGGUCUAAGUUCCUUGGAACAGGACGUCAUAGAGGGUGAGAAUCCCGUAUGUGACCGGCUCAGGCACCUUCUGUAAAGCUCCUUCGACGAGUCGAGUUGUUUGGGAAUGCAGCUCUAAAUGGGAGGUAAAUUUCUUCUAAAGCUAAAUACUGGCGAGAGACCGAUAGCGCACAAGUAGAGUGAUCGAAAGAUGAAAAGCACUUUGGAAAGAGAGUUAAAAAGCACGUGAAAUUGUUGAAAGGGAAGCGCUUGCAAUCAGACUUGGCCUAGGGUGUUCAACCGGUCUUCUGACCGGCCUAUUCAUUCUGGGCCAGGCCAGCAUCAGUUUUGGCGGCCGGAUAAAGGCCUUGGGAAUGUGGCUUCCUCUUCGGGGGAAGUGUUAUAGCCCAAGGUGUAAUACGGCCAGCCGGGACUGAGGUCCGCGCUUCGGCUAGGAUGCUGGCGUAAUGGUUGUAAGCGGCCCGUCUUGAAACACGGACCAAGGAGUCUAACAUCUAUGCGAGUGUUAGGGUGUCAAACCCUUACGCGUAAUGAAAGUGAACGGAGGUGGGAACCCGCAAGGGUGCACCAUCGACCGAUCCUGAUGUCUUCGGAUGGAUUUGAGUAAGAGCAUAGCUGUUGGGACCCGAAAGAUGGUGAACUAUGCCUGAAUAGGGUGAAGCCAGAGGAAACUCUGGUGGAGGCUCGCAGCGGUUCUGACGUGCAAAUCGAUCGUCAAAUUUGGGUAUAGGGGCGAAAGACUAAUCGAACCAUCUAGUAGCUGGUUCCUGCG
rnacentral:rRNA from 1 species